rnacentral:rRNA from 1 species
AGCGAACGCUGGCGGCAGGCCUAACACAUGCAAGUCGAGCGGGCACUCUCGGGUGUCUGCGGCUGACGGGUGAGUAACGCGUGGGAACGUGGCCACUGGUUCGAAAUAACUCAGGGAAACUGGAGCUAAUACCGGAUACGCCCCUUUUGCGGCAGGCUUGCUUCGGGAGGAUCGGGCCGCGCCUGAUUAGCUAGUUGGUUAGGUAACGGCGCACCAAGGCGACUAUCAGUAGCUGGGCUGAGAGGAUGAUCAGCCACACCGGGGCUGAGCCACGGUCGAGAAUCUUGCGCAAGGCGGGAGAGGCGGAUCCUGGAAUACCGGGGCAGGGCUGAUGCAGCCCUGCCGCGAAAGUGAUGAAGUCGUGAGGGAAGAGCAGCACGUUUAUCCGGGACGAUAAUGACGGUACCGGAAGAAUAAGCCCCGGCUAACUUCGUG